rnacentral:lncRNA from 1 species
AUGGUUAGAUGUCCUUGGGCAAGUUAUUCAAUUUCUCUGAGCUUCCUUUUCUUUAUCUGUGAAAUGGAAAUGUUGAGUGCCUGCUUUUCCCAGGGUCAGAUAUUUAGGUUCCAACCAGUAAAGAGAUCAUUAGCCCAUUCAGGGGACCAGUUCCCCUAGUUAGUCCCACCGGCAUCCUUCCGGCUCAGCAGCAGGCAGUGCAGAUAAUAGCUGCCGUUAGGAGUGGGCAGGCUUUUGUUGCUGCCACUUCGGAACAGAAGAAAAACGCAUUAGCAUGUCCAGCCUCUCAGACCCAGAGGAAAGCCUCAGGAGGUAGAGAAAACCUUUUUUUUUUUUAAAUCAUUUAUGUAAGAAAUGAGAUUUUACCUUAUUUUUUAAAUAUUUCCUAUGAAGUCCAUAUGUUACCAAUUAUAACUGAGUCAACUAUACGGAGCUUUACAUGAGAUCAUAUGAUUAGCAUGAUAUUUAAAUCAUUUAUGUUGUUUGUCCUUAAAUGCUAAGCAAUAGAUGGUACUAUUUUGCAAGCCUUCUUACACGGAGCAAGUUGCUUUAUAAAUUAUCUAAAUUUGUUCUUCUAGAU